ensembl:lncRNA
CGACGCCUCUGCGCCCCAGACACAGUCCGCAGAGCGGCGUCCUCGUCGGUCCCUGGCCCUCGAACAUUCUCCGCCGCCCCGGCCUGAGCCAGGGACCGCCGAGGUUCUCCACAGGCCGAGCUAACUUCCCACCCCAGGAACAGAGCUCGCUCUGCUGCCCCCGGUGGCGGCCGGCCGCCACCUUACCCUCGGCUUCUUCGACAAUCGGCGACGGCCGGUUGAGAACUACAUUUCCCAUCAGGCCCUUCUCAACACCGCGAUCGUGCCCGCGAGACUCGGGUGGGAAGACCGCGCGCAGGCGCAGCCUCGCCCUUUCCGAGCUCGGCCGCCGCGUGUGCGGGAGUCAUGGCCGCGAGGCUCCGUCGUGCGCCCACGGGCAGGGCUGGGCCUUGGGUGUCGGUAAGCUGCGGGGGAGGGGACGUGAGGGCCGACGUGCCCGGUGCCCCCUCCUCUCUGCUUUGCUCCUGAAGGCGCUGGAAGGCCCGGGGUUCUGUGUUGGAAAGACGGCGUUUUCCAGGCUGCACAAGUUUUACGUGACAGCGGCCGAAGCCCGUUUAGGCUCCGCGCUCCCGGCUUGUUUGGGGGGCGGGUGGUGUUCCUUUGCUUAAAGAUGCGCGCUGUGGAACAUGAACCAGGAGAUGGAUUAACCGUGGAGUUUAUUACAGCGGGGUGGGGGCGGGCGAGCGAGCAGGGGUCUGUCUGUCAAAGACUCGGUUCCGUGGAACCAGGCACUGCCUGAGUGAUUGUGCCGGGUCACAGGGCCAGGCCAGCACAAUGCCUGGACCUUUCAGGGGGGAUCCUCGCAGGCUGCCCAGCCCCCUGGGCCUCACAGCCAGCCAUGCACGGAGCAUGCGGCCCUGGGGUCUCCCUCGAGGCUGGUGGUCCCUCAUUCCUGAGCCUCGACGCCCGAAUGGGUCUGCUGCCCGCAGGUGGUGACCGCAGGCCGUGAGAAAGGGGAUUGCCAACUGGAAAUCCGUAGUUUUGCAAAUGGCAUGUCUUUCCUUCCUCGAAGGCGUGCCCCUGGCAAAGCAUCAGGUUAAUGGCAGGAUCCCCAGGCGUAAAGGGACCCGCGUGGCCGCCCAGUGAGAAGGCGGAGAAGGACGGCGGGCAUCUGCGUGCACUGUUCUCAGGUUCCCCAAUGAGCGAGCGUUGAGCCAUGAGUCCCUUUCGGUAAGAAGAGUGUCUGCUACCCAAAGUCUAGAAGAGGGGCUGGGUCGGUGUAACAUGGGGCCACCAUGUGUGGGUGACACAGUGUACAGGGACGAAGGGGAAGAGACUUGGAACAUGAGUUUGGGUUGGCUGGGAUUUAGGGAGUGUGUUAUUGGUUGAGCCGAGGAUGAUUUAUUAGAGUUAUCCCUGUCUGAAAUGGCAUCUUUUGUGAAGGGUUGUGGUUUUCUGAGGCUCCACUUUUUAAUACCUUUUCUGAUUUUAAACACCAUAGGGUUGCUUAUGUUACAAUGAACUCCCUUAAUUACUCUUGUAGAUUGGAGUUGGCUCCUGGAGACACCAUGAGAUGCUGUGUGUGGUAAGCACUUCUCCAUAGAGUGGCAGGGGUUGGGGUUGCCUGGAAGGAUCGGUCUGGGGUUGCAGGGAUGUGAUUGCUCGGGGAAGGGAAGAAACAUGGAACCAUUCCUCUCUGCUCUUCACUUACUGCCUUCAUAGACUGUAUUUAAGGUGUGAGAAUACAAGUGUUCCCCACUCUGCUGCCACAUAGACUGAGGCUUAGGGGUUUCUGCUCAAAGCUACAUGAGCACUGGCUUCCAGGGGACAUCAGUUGAUGCUGGGUGACUGUCCUUCAAGGCACAGGGCAGCCAUUUUAAACUUAAACAUACCCAACAUGUCAAUAGAGCUGAGGUUAAGAAACCUUAUCACUCAGGAUGACUUGGACUGAGUUUGUUCUCUCCUUUACAUACUGAGCCAAAAUUGCAUUUUAGAUUAAAGGUUUUGGCCAGCUAGCUGAUAGUGGCACAGAGCCUUGUGUUUUUUGUAAAGCAAAAUUAGUGGUUUCCAAUCCGGGAUUUAUCCCCCAACACCUAAAAGCAUUCCCUGGGUCCACCUCUGCCAGUGGAUAAGACUGGUUUUAGAAUGGGAUCAACAACAACCUUGUGGGAGGUCUGAGCAGGCGGACAGAGAGAGUUCAAUGAUCUGCUUAGGGAUUCUCCUAGAGCAGGCUAUUUUUAAGAAGCUCUUGGGGUAGAUUUCUAAUGUCUAAAUGGAAAAAUCUCAGGCUUGCUCUUGUAUAUGUAGAUGGACAAGGAGAAACUGUAUGAUGCUGUCUCGGUAGCAGGUGUGAUAGGUGGUUGUCUGUCAAUGGGCCAGCUGAGGUAGUGGGUUACCUAAACCAUUUCAGGCGUUCCCGUGACAGGCUGGAAGAACUUGUCAAAGACUCUGGCUCAGCGAUAAGACAGAUGCUGCUGGGAGUGACCCUCUUCCACCCUGAGGUCUUACCAUGUAUCCUGUGUGGGCCUUGAAUUUUCUGUGUAGCACAGGUUGGGUUCAAACUCACAGUUCUUGCCUUGGCUUUCUUGAUGUUCAUGAUCCUGUCUUUGAGAGGACCGGAGUGUCUGGGAAAUGGCUCAGUGGCUAAGAACAGCUGCUGAGGACCUGGGUUCAUUUCCCAGCACUUACUUCAGGCAGCCAGCUGCCUAUAACUCCACGUCUAGGGGGAAUCCAAUACCCUCUUGAGGUCUCUACAGGCACUAGGCACACACGGUGCACAUAUGUUCAUGUAGUCAAAACACACACACACACACACACACACAUGAAAUUGCCUUUUUAAAAAAGCUUUUAGAGUUCUUGAGCAAAGGCCGGCAGUCCCGUGGGAGCUGAGUGCAUGAUGAUGUAAAGUUAUCCCUGUCUGAAGGGCAAGAGGCCUUUCUGUGUGGAGCGUGGAUAUCUGAAACUCGGCUUCUCGGGCUUGACCAGCAACUCUGGACAUGGUUCUUCAGUGAGCUGCUUUACCUUGUGUGUUUCCUCAUCACCAGGUGCAGGCCAAGUCUGGGGCAGAAAGGGAUGCUGUGGCAGCCUGCAGGUAACCAACUAUCCUGCCCCCUGGAUUGCAAGGAUGUGAGCGGCCGUGGUUCCUCGCACAGCUGGCUGGGUGGAGGGUUAGUGCUUUUGAUUUCCUGCUCUGGGUUGUGCAGGGUGAGAUGCCAGCCUUGUGACAAACAGAAGCAAUUGCUUUCUUCUGUAGCCCCCUCCCCCUUUGAUCUGAGAUAGGAUCUUACUGUUUAGCCCCAGGUGGGACUUGCUAUGUAGACCUGGGUGACCUCAAACUCACAAGUCCACCUGCUUCCGCCUUCCAGGUGCUGGGAUUAAAGGCAUUUGUCACCAUACCUGGCCCUUUGUGGUUUUAUGCUCCCAUUUUGUUUUUGUUCUAAAAAAAGCCCAUAAGCCUAUGAUGGAUGUUAAGUUAUCCCUGUCUGAAAAUUUCAGCUGAGGGAAAAUACUAUGUUCUGAGGCUUAGGGGUGUGGCUCCAUGCUUGAAGAAAUUCGAGCUUUAUAAGGGAUUGAGUGGACUCCAUAGAGAGCUAUGUGCGCCCUGCUGGGACCUAGUGUGGUGUGCCAGCUCUCCAAAAGCCUAUGGUCUGGUUGCCCUAUAAUCCUCUCCUUUGAGUGGCUCUGAGGGCAAAGCCUCUGAGUUCACAGAGGUGGGCAUGCUGCCAGGGCUCAUUCUAUACUGUAGAGUGAAGGAGUGCUUGCCACAUACUUGGGAGUGAAUGUGCUCUUUUGUAGGAGUCAGGAAUGUAAGGCUUAUGCCAUCAGUGCUUAGUGACUCUGUCCUUGCCACCACAGCAGUCCUGACAUUUUGGGGAAAGAAGGCGCAGCGACUCUGGCAGCCUCAGUACAGAGUUACUGCCCUAAAGUGCCCUGCUGCUGCUGACUUUAAUCUCCCAGAGAGAAUGUCAUCAAAGGACCUUGGAGUUUGAUCUGCAGAAGUAGCCAAGAAGUCAAGUGACUCUGUCAUCCUGGGAAGCCUCUGGCAGCUAGCAGUUGGAGGCACUGGGGAGGCAGGUGCUGCGCCUAGAAAAGCAUUUCUCAGUGGAUUUCCUGGGAAGUUCAUGUUGGGCUUUGUGAUUUGAAGCACAAAUAAACCUUAUUAGAUUUAACUCACUAACAUUGUGGAUGUGAGAUUGAGGCUUUUCUAACACUGAAGGGUGUUCUAGAAUAACACUUGAACUUGACUGCAGAAAACUAAAGACAUUUCUACUGACCUGUUAAAAAAUUUACUUUGGCUGGGCGUUGGUGGCGCAUGCCUUUAAUACCAGCACUCGGGAGGCAGAGGCAGGUGGAUUUCUGUGACUUCGAGGCCAGCCUGUUCUCCAGAGCAAGUGCCAGGAUAGGCUCCAAAGCUACACAGAGAAACCCUGCCUGGAACCACCCCCCCCCCCCAAAAAAAAAUUUUUGACUUUGUACUUAAAUCAUAGGUUGCCGAUUAACAUUACCUAACACUUAAUCCUUCGAGGAUGGGUCAGAGAGAUGACUGUUUAGGAACACCUGGGUUCAAUUCCAGUACUGACAUGGUGACUCACCAUCUGUAACCCCAGUCACAAUUCUAUAUCCUUUUCUAGCCGUCUUGGGUACCAGGCAUGCAAGUGCACAGACCAACAAUGAAGGCAAAAAACACCCAUACAUAUAAAAAUAGGUCUUUUUCAAAAAAAAAAAAAAAAAAACAGCCUGGUGGUAGUACCGCAUGCCUUUAAUCCCAGCACUCAGGAGGCAGAGGCAGGUUGAUGGAUUUCUUGAGUUUGAAGUCAGCUUGGUCUACAAGAGCUAGUUCCAGGACAGCUAGGG